UACGUAGGGGGCAAGCGUUGUCCGGAUUUAUUGGGCGUAAAGAGCGUGUAGGCGGUUUGGUAGGUCCGUUGUGAAAACUCGAGGCUCAACCUCGAGACGUCGAUGGAAACCGUCUGGCUAGAGUCCGGAAGAGGAGAGUGGAAUUCCCAGUGUAGAGGUGAAAUUCGUAGAUAUUGGGAAGAACACCGGUGGCGAAGGCGGCUCUCUGGACCGUAACUGACGCUGAGGCGCGAAAGCGUGGGGAGCAAACAGG
rnacentral:rRNA from 1 species